UUUUAUGGAGAGUUUGAUCCUGGCUCAGGAUGAACGCUGGCGGCGUGCCUAAUACAUGCAAGUCGAGCGAACGGACGAGAAGCUUGCUUCUCUGAUGUUAGCGGCGGACGGGUGAGUAACACGUGGAUAACCUACCUAUAAGACUGGGAUAACUUCGGGAAACCGGAGCUAAUACCGGAUAAUAUUUUGAACCG
rnacentral:rRNA from 1 species